rnacentral:lncRNA from 1 species
CUCGAGUUUGACCCGUAUUUUAAAUAGGCUUGAUUUUUUUAUCCAAGUCUAUAUUUUUGGCCUAAUAUUUUUACCUAAACCCUCCCAAAAUUUAAACAAGCCUUCGAGUAUAGAGAAAUAGCCUAACCCUUAAACAGGACUAGAUCAAAUGAAACAAAAAAAAAGAACUUAAAAUAAUUAUUUAUAUUAAAAUAUACUUGUAAGGCCCAAUAUUUGCCCGCCCCACAUACAUUGCAAAAAAACCAAAAAAUAAUAAACAAAAUUCAGUCUAUCAUAACAGUCCAUAUUACAAAGUUUGGCCCAAAUAUCACCUAACCAUCAGCCCAAAUUACCAGCCC